rnacentral:lncRNA from 1 species
GGCUGGAUGAGUUGGCUUGGCUCCACAUGGGAGAGGGGGUGCCAUCAUCCCCAGUGGUCAACACAAGAAUGCUUCCAUGAUCACUAGUGCUUGUUUUGGCCAGCAGUAUUUUCUGAAAGAUCGUUGCUCCUGGAAUAUGAUGAAAAGGUUUACUAUCCAAAGUGUAAGAAGUUUGAGAAGGUUCAAAGGAAAGAAACACCAAAGGCGACUUAGGAAGAAAGAUAAUUUGCUGGAGUAGACAGUACUGGCCUGGGAUUCAGAGUCUGAGAUCUGGAUCCCCAGGUGCUGACAGAAGCUUGCCUGAGGAUAGAAGUAAGCUGCCAUAGAGUGCUAGCAGGUGAGGACUCUAUAGGUGGGGAGGAAAGUGGAGAUGGGAGUUGGAAUCUGGAGACAGUGUGAUUCUGACUUUGCUAUAGAAGUAUAUUAAAAUGUCCCUGAAUAUGGAGUUCUCUUGUGGUGCAGUGGGUUAAGGAUCCAGUGUUGUCACUGCUGUGGCUUGGGUCCUUGGUGUGGUGUGGAUUUGGUCCCUGGCCUAGGAACUUCUAUGUGCUGCAGGCAUGGCCCAAAGGAAAAAAAAAAAAAAAUGUCCCUGAGUAGAGGUGAGAAUUACAUAUUUCAGAUCAGAGUAGCACAGGAGUAAAGAGGACAAGCACUUUGGAAGUGGAGAUUUUUUUAGAGAAUGAAAGAGAUAUUUAGUUAUUUAUGUAAUAAACAUUAAUUUAGUAAUUACUAUGUGCCUGUCACUGGGACUCUAUGCUGAAUGUGGUCUCUGCUUUCACUGAAAUACAAAAGUGGUGGUCGUCUAGGGACUGUUGGUAAACCAGAGAAUGAAAUGAAAAUAGUGAUGUAUAUAAAUGAUUAUUAUCUGUGAUAAAAUACUCCUAUUCUGAUAUCUGCCUGGGUAUUAUAAUUCAGUUUGAUCAUCAGUAAAAUGCCUUCAAAGGAGAAUGUUGAGAGUUCUCUAGUCCAGCUUUUCAAACAAUUUAUUAAAAUUUAACUUCCUAGAAGUAGGCAGGGGGUUAUACUUCUUCUCUACCAUCUAAGUUUACUCAGUAUUAAUUAAAAUUUAGAGAUGUUUCUAAAUUCAGGCAUUUUUGCAAUGGCAUGAUUUUGGAAUAGGAUGCAAUUAAUACUUAAAAAAUGUAAUUUUACUUAUGCUGGUGUUUCCCAUUGUGUGAUGGUUGUCAUGCUAUUAGUGGUAUGCAGGAUGAACAAGCAUUUUAAUAUUUAUAUUUCUCCUAUUAGAUAUACCUUCUGUUUAUGACAGUGAUUUGACCUUUCCCUCUGACAUCCAUGUAACUAAAAGACAGUUUUCUUCAAAAUAUUAAAUGACUUAUAAAUAGUAUAAAGGCUAUGAAUAUAUGGCAAACAUCUUGAAUAUGGUGCUUGGAUAACCUAGCAUUCAAAUGACUACAUUAUGAAACUACUGUUGUCUAUAAUUCAGUGAGAAUUGGUAACUCCCCAGCCAUAACUCUGUCAUUGCCCCUGCUCAGGAAGAUACAGCUGCCCUCAUUGAGGGGCUGGCUCAUCAGGUAAUAGUGUUCAUUUGAUUAGAGUUGCCAGUUGUAAGCUGUGUUACAAGUAAGUUGCCUAAACAAGAUGGAAGAUGGUGGCAACAAAGAGCAGAUUCUUGGAUAUGUAAGUGAAACAUAGCUGAGAAGUAAAUAUUACUUUCAUUUUGGUCACUUUUGAUCAAUUCAUUUAUUAUUUUUAGUUUACAAUAGCAAAAUAUAACUAUCUAUUAAACACCUUUUUAUUAUAGCUUC